AAAAAAAAUAAACAAAACUUUCAACAACGGAUCUCUUGGCUCUGGCAUCGAUGAAGAACGCAGCAAAAUGCGAUACGUAAUGGGAAUUGCAGUGAAUCAUCGAAUCUUUGAACGCACAUUGCACCUAGUAGUAUUCUACUAGGUAUGCGGAGGUGAGCGCCUA
rnacentral:rRNA from 1 species